rnacentral:rRNA from 1 species
GCACAACUCUGAGCGGUGGAUCACUCGGCUCGUGUGUCGAUGAAGAGCGCAGCCAACUGUGUGAAUUAAUGCAAAUUGCAUACUGCUUUGAACAUCGACAUCUUGAACGCAUAUUGCGGCCAUGGGUUAGCCUGUGGCCACGCCUGUCCGAGGGUCGGCU